UUGCUGUGCUCCUGCUGGGCUUGCUGGAGAUGCUGGCACAAGUACCAGCCCCUGCUGUAUGAGGGUACUCUGGGGAGAAGUUGGGCUACUUCUCUAUCUGGGGACUGUGUUCUUCAGCAUCUUUAUGUCCUUGUGGGCCACGGCCUUCCUGGAGCACCGGAAGUGCAAGAGCAUCACCCUUGUCCACCACUGGGACCGCAGUGACUUCCAGGAAGAGGAGCCAAUAGAACUCUGACCAUCUCUACCUUUUGCCCAGAGAUGCACAGAACCCAGACCUUCCACGAAGACCUUCACUUUCAGAGUCUUCUUCUUUGAGUUUGUCGAUUUUCUACUUUUCCUUCUACAUGGCAUUCUUCAAAGGCAGGGGAGAACCCCCUACCCCACCCGGGACUGUUGCCUCCCAACAAAGUGGGCCAACAGAGUGGCAUCAUCCUUGAACAUCCAGAUUUGUUUCUACCAAGGUCUUGCCAUUGACCUUGAAAUUGGUCCUCGAUUUUCCUGGGCUUCAAUUUUCUCAACUGUAAUGUGCUAACACAUCAUUGGGUCAAUAUGAAACGUCAACACCU